GUGCCAACCCCUGUGUGGGGGUUUUGCCCCCACACAGGAAGGGGCAAAGGGUGCGAGCCCCUUGCCACGGGUGCAAAUCGGGUUGGAGGGUACAAGGGGGAGCAGGGAGGGUUUUAUUUCCCCUCUCAGGGAGAUACGUGCCUGGGCACAGGGCCCCUUCCUGUUUACUCUUAAAGAUACAGCUGCCUACUGUCUUGUCUCUCCCUGCCAGCUCCUGCAGUCCCUCCCUCUGCAGUGCCACAGCACUGGGGCAAAAUGCUGUAAGCACCCUACAUGCAGCUGGGAGGGAGCAUAUAACCGGGCUCGACAAAUCAGUGAAUCUACUUGCCCGUGGGGGCUGCACUCCCUGCUUGCUAUGCUCCCAACUGGGGGCGGGCCGUGGAUGCAGGCAACCUCAGCAGUUGCCUAGGGUGCUGCGUUAAACGGGGCGCCCAAUGAUGACGUCAUGCCAUUGAGGACUAUGGAGACAAGGAUGAUAGAAUUGAGGAACUACCCCCAGCCUCAUCUGCAUUGAAGAUAGGACAGACAGAUAUCUCCAUUAGAAUACAGAAUGGAGAACAGCACUUCCAAAGCAUGAACCACACUGAACUAUGGGAUACUGAAAGCAGGAAAGCAAUACCUUGUGGGAAAUCUCUGCUCCAGAUGCUAAUGAACUCAUGUCUGCACGUCCCCAAAUCAGUAAUUAUCAGACCCAUUGUAGUAAUAGAUACUCUAUUGAUUUCCAAAAUACUGAAACUGCAUAGUUGCAUUAUUCUCUCUGAAGGCAUGGCACCCAUCACCAUGAAUGAGCUACAAAAGUGUCAAAUACUCCCUGAAUAGAAUAGAAUUCACAUUUUGAUUACCAGAAGAGCCAAAAGCUUGAUCCUGCCAAAAGUCGUCGUAAAUUUUGUCAUCGACUUCAGUGAGAGCAGAAGAAAGUCCAAAAUGUCACAUCUGUUAAACUGUUAUUUUACACUAAAA